UGUUGUUUCAUGGUGCUGUGUUGGUCCCACUGCUGGUAGAUUCAGAGCUGUUCUCUCUGGCUUGUCUGGAUCCAGCAUUCCCCUCUGCUCUCAGAUGUUGAGUGGAGGGGCAGUGGUGCCUGCAUUCCUCCCUGCAGCUGCUCUCACCCAGCCUCUCCAGAAGAAAGCAGAGCUGAGAAAGUGAUGAAAGGGCAUAAAAGCAGUGAAAUGAAAAUCGGGAAGAGAGGCUGAUGCAGGGGUGAGGUAGAUUCUGUGGAAUUUACGAGGAGUGAAUUUAAAUGAACAUUAAAAAGUGUAGAUAGUGCUGGUCUUAGUUUUAAUUUUCCAUGGUACAGCUAUAGUACUUCUGCUGCCAUAUUUUUCAGCUCUUCACUCUGAGUUACUCAGACGUUACUCCAUUAUUUUCUUCUUAAUAAUUGUAAUCCUCAUAAAGCAGAAAGUCCAAAAGUCGAGUAUUUUAACUGUGUACAUUGCUACAGUUCAAACAAUGCAAAAUGUUCAAGAACUCGGUGCAGUAUGUCCAAAUUGUAAGAUUUAGUUUUAUUCAUUGGAACAAGGAGCUCCUAGUCUUGUCCAUGGAGGAAAUAGAGGUGAAUUCUGUGAUUCUGAAGCUGCCCUCUCCAGCAGGCAUGCAGUGAAUGUAACAGUCCAUGGCUUUGUUAAUGAAGGUACAAGCUCAACUUUUUUUUUAAGAUAAAGCAAAAUAGAAAGAUGAUAUUCUAAGUUUGGUAUCUUGAUGAAAGUGUGAAAAUUGAGCAUGUUUAGUAUCAUGAGUAAAACGUGGUGGAGAUGGAGUGACUGAGCUGCUUAAACAUGGAGGAAUUUUGUGUGCCUGGAGGGUUUUGGGGAAGACUUGUUAAUGUUGCAGGAGUAGUUAAAGGCUGAAAAAGCAGCUGAGGGCUUUUCUCAGUGUUCUGUCAGCCAGGCUGAAACCUGGGACUUGACAGGAGGAACCAGCUUUGGUUGUGUAGAUUGGUGUCAGCAGAAUCUCUUCAGCCCUGCUGCUGCUGCUGGGAAUCAGAAUGCAGGGCAGGUUUCAUGUUGAUGAUGUGCUUUAAAGCUGCAGGAAAACCUGGGGGCUCUCGUGCUCAUGGUUUGGGACAGCAGUGCUGUUGUCCCUGGUGGGUUCUGUGUGUGUCACCAGGUCUUGCACAGUGCAUUCCCACUCAAAUCCACUUUCUGCUGACUACUGAAAUUGAAUUUGGAAUGCUUCUCAGAUUAUAACUGUGUCCUCAACCCUCACUUCAACUCCAGGUACCUUUGGCUUUUUUCUCUGAGCCUCUCCUGAAUUGUGAGCUUCAGGAUAUCCUUGCAUCUUUUACAGGGCUUGUUAGGCUGCAUUGUCACAUCUGGUUGAUAUUACAAACAGGAAUAUAUAUAGUGAAAUAAACCUUCAAUGGAAUAUGAGGCAUCCCACAAAAUGAGUUUCUCAUAAGGCUUUGAGCUUCUUCUUCUAGAAAGAGUGGCUUUGAGACUCAUGGAUUUUAUUUGCUUUGGUUUAGAUAAGGGUUUUAAGUUUAAGUUGGAUGAUGAGUGAGGCCUUGAUUAGAUUCUCUAGUGGAAAUGUUUCUCGUUGCUCUAUUGCCUUCACUGCCUAGAUUUUAAAGCUUCUGAGCUGUUUUAUCUGGGAUAAUUAUCCAGUAAUUCAAAAUGCAGGCACUUUUAAUGAGAAAACUGAAUCAAGGAAAAAUAUUUUUAAUGAAUUGAGAAAUAAAAGUAUGAAAUAUCUUUUUUUUAAUAGUUGCAGAUACUUACUAAUAUCUAUCCAUAAAGGAGCAGAUAUUUUUAAUACAGGUGAUAAAUGCACAGAAAAAGUAUAAGAAAAUGAAACAUGCAAUUUAACAGCUGUAAAACUAGGUUUUGAUUCUAAGGCAAUUACUUUCUUAUAUCUGAAACAAGUCAUGAAAUUUUUCUGCAAAGGUUGUAAGCAAAGAUUUGUGCCUGCUGGAAUCCUGUUUCCUUUGUGUGCAAAGCUGGUGUAUAAAAUGAUUGUAGUGCAUCUGCUUUUCACUAAAAAACAAGUAUACUAGGGGGUCCAUGAGAUACUUAUUUAUCUUUGAAAACAAAAGGGGAAACAAGCUCAUUUCCCCACAAACACCCUGUCAUGUAACAAUAUAUUUGUUUCAUUGUUAAAGCCUCUAUACCUCAGGCUAGCUGCUAAGUAGCCAUGGUAAAGCUCUUUUGUACGUGUGGAAAAAAACCUCUUAGGCUCUAAACUCAAGUCUUGCAGUGAGAAUUAAUGCCUCUUCCAAAUUUAUAGCCAUGGACCAUUUGCUUGGUCUAUUUAUUUUUAAUGAACUGUCUUAGUUGUCACUUGACUGCACAAACCAGGCUCUGGAAACAGCGAUCCUGAAAUCUGAUACCAGAAUAUCAGGAUAGUGGAAGCAUCCAUUAGUCUCUGAAAUGAAUUUGUUUACUUUUUUGAGUAGUAUCAGAAUCUAUAUUUUAUUCCAAAACUGGGUGUUUCAGUGUGGGAGCAGAGCCCUGUGAUCCUGAGCUGAGACAAUUUGAGUCCAUGGCUGGGUGUUCCCAAUACCUUCCUGUUUAAAUUUUCUAGUCAUGGUGUCCCAAUAUUUUAUCACAUUCAUUUAUAGUUAUUUCUAAAGUAGGCUGCAUUAGCACAAGCAGCAGAAUGGAGACAUUGUAGAUAAGUUAUUUGUUUUAAUAAAAUGGCAUUUCUCUCAGUAUCAGGAACAGCCACUCUGUAGUAAGUUGCUUGUUGUUGACAUGGUGUAUUUGUACAAAUGUGUGAGAUUUGUCAGAGCUGGAUCAGUGGGAUGCUCUUUUCUUAUCCAGUGGAGUAUUUUGAAAGUUGAUUGAUAGAUGGGUAAAAUAGUGAGUAAGUACUUGCAGCACACAAUGCAAAUUCUGUGAGUAGCCUUAAAAAGAGGCAAUAUUCAGUUUUAGCAGGAUCACACAACAGCUGAGGUUGUGUGCUGGGCUGGCCCUGGCAGGUCCCCAGCGCUGCUCUGUCCCUGCUCUUCUCAGCAGGGCAGGGAGAGAAGAUAUAAUGCAAUUAUAAUUGUGGGGUGAGAUAAGAGCAGGGAGAGAUCCAUCACCAGUGACUGUCACAGGCAAAACAGACCUGACUUGGGGAUAUUAACUUUAUUGACAAUGAAAUCAUAGUAGGGCAGUGUUUUAUUUUUAGAAAUUGCUAUUUGCCAUCUCUUUCCUUGACUUGGUGUCAGUGUGUGUAUCUGGUUUUGUGUAAGUAGUUUCCUUGGAUAAUUCCUGGUAGGAGCAGCUGGAACCAUUUAGUUAGUGCUUUACUAAGCUGCCCUUGUUAGACAUGGAUGUGAAGGUGUUCUCACCUUCCCUGUGGGAGGGACACUGCUGUGCUGCAGGCAGGUGUUGGCCCAGGUGAGCCAGUGCCUCCUGCCUGGCACUGCACAAGUGCAGGGUGUGCCAGAUUUUCCCAGUGCCUGCUUUUCCUGUGGAGCUCAGAUGUUGAUUGCAGCCGGGGGUUUGUUGCACAUGGCUGUGAUUUGCCCAGGAUUUGCUGCUGGAAGCCCUGUGAGCAGUGUCACUUGUAAAACCUCGCCUCCAGCCCCAUCCCCAGCCAGCCCAGAGCAUCAAACCACGACUCCUGGUCAGAUUCUGCCUCUUUCAUCUCAUGGGUGUCAUUAGAAGCUGUGCUUGGAAAAGCAACCAGAUCAUAAAUUUUCUGUGUGUCCUCUUUAUUUCUCUGUUUGUUCUCUUUCUAGAAAGAAAGCUCUCCCAGAUUGCUGCCUCAGAGCUCCCUUAUCAUUUCCAUUAAAGCAGGAUCCUGACAAUUCAAUUGUUGCAGGAGUUUGAGUUACGGUGUUGCCAUGACAAAAGAGCACGGGCUUGUAACAGGGUGUUUUUGUGGCUCUAUCCACAUCCAAUAAUUGUAGUUUUACUGUGUAUAGAUCACAGCAGGUCUUUUCAGAAGACAGUAAAUAAUUACAGUAAGUGUUUGGUGGUCUCUGGGGUGCACUUCUGGCUUGGGAAAGAUGUGCAUUAGGUCAGGGGCUUGUGCUGCAGAUAGCUGGAUGACAUUUGCACCAUUUAUCAGGCUGAAGUCAUUCUAGAUCUUCUUUUGAGCUCUGCUUGUAAAUAAUAUAUUUAACCUUUUUUUUUAAUACAAGUACACGCCAAUUUUAUUUGAAGAGUCUAAGGAUCUUCUUCUGCCUAAAUUAGUGCAGAAGAAUAAUAAAAAAUAUAUAAUAUCUGUAAACUUAUUAUUUUGAGAGUAGAAAACAAAGGAAAACAUGUUGAAAAGCCAGAAGGCUUCCUCUUCAGUGCUGCUUUUUCCCCUGUGUGAAAUUGGUGAUUUGAAAUGAUAGUGUGCAGAUGUCUUCUUUCCCCUCUUAAGGGAAACAGGCACGACUGGGGAAGAAAGGGUGUUUUUGUGAAAAUUGCUGCUGGGUUUUAGUGGCGUCUCCCUUCUAAGGAGGGUUCUACUGCCAACUUCUGUGAUCAGGUCAUCUUAUUACAAAGCUAUUUAAGGGAGCUUGUGGCAAAGGAUUAUACAUUUCCAGAAGAAAUGCCACACAUGCAGAUUAAGCAUAAGUCUGCUUUGGAAAUAAGUUGUUUUACUCUGUUAGCUGAGUAACUACUGCCUUGCAUUUCCAAUGUUUUUUCCUUUGCUACUUGAAGGGUGACAUCUUUCCAUUGAUAUUCAGCUGCAGAAAUCAGGAGGCUCCAAAAUAGUGGGAUUAAUUUGCCAUUUAAUUAUUUGGUAGCCUUAACCAUGCUGCUGGGUGUCCAUUUUCCUGAUGUUGGGGUUUUUAAAGCACUCUCAGGUAAAUUCUAGUUUCAAAUCACAUGGCUUGGAGAUAGCACAUUAAAAAUACUGUCAAUAUACUGUAAUUGGCUGCUCAAAGCAAUCCUGAACUGAAAAAUGCUAACACCAACAGCAGCCUUGUGAGCUUGCUAAGUCCAGUCCCUGAUUUUGCAUCAACAGAGCCCUUGUAAGUAGUUUCUGCUGCUGCUUAAAAUUUCCCUUAUUCUUAGUAUCAAACAAGGAGUACUGACAAAUUCAGUGUGUGCUCUCAAUUAGACAUUAAUUCCCAUCAGAGUUCAUUCUUUCUGAGGGCAUCCUGGAGGUGCUUAGCAAAAUGAGGCUUUUCUGAACUUGUGCAGAACCUGCUGCUGCUUUGAGUGAGUCCCAGCAGGGGCAGCUCCGUGGUCAGUCACCACCUGGAGAGCUGCACACGUGGGCUCUGGGUUCUGUGUGUGCUCUGCCAGCUCUGAAAUGUGUCCUUAUUAACUGCCUUCAACUUCUGUCUUCGGAGUGAUGAGUUUAAAUGGGGGGAAAAGCAGUGACUCAGCCUCUGGUUACCAGGGCUUUCACAUCACUGAGCUGUUAUGUCUCAAAACACAACAGUUGUGGGUGGGCAUUAUUGGCUCGCUGUUUUCUUAGGUUACUCUCCACAAUUUGGGCUUUUUUGCUUCUGGGAGCAGCAGUCCAAGUUCUGUAGCUCGCUGAAGUGCUGGUUUCUGGUUCUGGGGUUUGAUUUGUGGUGGUGGCAGGGCCAGGGAGCUGCUGCUGGGCUCUGCAGGGUGGAUUUGUCUGUGCCACUCACGGCUGCUUUCAGGCUUGACAGAGGAUUGAGUGGCUGUGGAGCUUGCAGCUGGAGAUUAAUUAGGUUAUAUCACAGGUAUAUUAUUACUGGGGGAUCUGACCUGAUGGUUUAUAGGCAGUUUCUUUUCCGGAAACUGGAUAACCUUGGUAGUCUGGGCAGCUCCGAGUCUGUCAGGGUCAGAUUUACUGCUUUUGCUUUGUUAAUGUGGUUUUUUUUGGCCUUGCCAUUAGAGCUAGUCAGCAAAUGUCAGCACAUCACGGUGUACUUGCACUCAGCAUUGCUAUAUGGAUAUUGCUUUCCUUGUUUGCAAACUUCCUUUUAAUCAAUUAGUUAUUAUGUGAAUGUUUUUUGCCUCUCCCCUUCGUCUGUGCUCUGAAAGGAGCUGGAAAAUGUUUUCUGAGUGCUCAGUGCUUCUGAGCUGCUGGAGUCUUGUCUGUGGUUAGAAUGAGCAGUGGGAAAUUCACUUGUAAAUUGUCAUCACUGCAACUAGGUGACAAUGCAGAAUGAAUAUAACUCUCUCUUCUUUUUGGUGAACAGGAGAUUAGAAUACAUUUGGCAUUAUUUUCACACUGAGGCAGUUUCCUCACACAAAGCAAAUGUAGGAACAGAUUGAACUGAUGACCCGAAGUGCAGACAUCUCAUCUACGCAACAGGAAAAAUAUCAUAAUGAUAAUGUAAAUAUUUCUGCUGCUUUCCAUAAUAGACUGUCAUCCUGAGGCCAAAGAUGAGUUUACAUUCAUUGUCUUGUAAAAGUCCUUUCAAAUACUUUGGAAAUAUGUUGCAGAUAACGAGAAUUUCUUUUAGUGUGUGUGGAUG